ACUUGAUAUACAAAAAAAAAAGAUUAUUUAGGUCUUUGGAUGUGCACUGUUAACUUUUUAAAUAUUUCAGCAAUGUCCCUGUGACAUCCUUUCUAAAGCUUCUUCGCCUCUUUACAGCUCCUCCGUGACAGUUUACUGAAAUUACUUCUCCGGUGCUCCGUCGUUUCGCUGGAAUUACUCUUCUUCCUUUCGAAGUUGCUUUUCCUCCCUUCAAAAUUACUCUUUCGAUGCUCUGUUAUUGUUGCAUCGAAAACGCCAUUGACGCUCGAGCUUCUCGCGGCGGAGAAGGAGCUCCUCACGCCGGAGUAAGACGACAUGUCUUCUUCCGACCCAAUAAAGUACAUGUUUCCUCCUCGGAAGCUACAAAGCGAUCUCGGUCUUCAAGCACUCUGUUUCUUAUAAUCCAAAACGUUAGAAUCGUCGGAUUAAUCUUCCUGAAGAACCUCCCGAGUCUCGAGAAUCUAUGAUGCUUCGUCUUGUUGAUCUCAAUGCAGCUGCUACUACUCCUCUUGAAGACCACAACCUCCUCGGUUCUCGUCACAUCCUCUGUUCUAGUUGUCUUCCUCUGUUUCGUCCCUGGCGUCUACGGCGUCGUUCAAGAUUGAUUGAAGGAAAGCGUUUGCGGUUAGAUUCUGAUGACUCCACGGUAGAGACGGUGCAGAGGACAAUACUAUGGAGGGUCUCAGCUAAAAGAAGUCAAAGCCCACUCAGCUUUCCAAUUUUCUAUGGCUAAACUGGAAGAGGAGAUCUGCAACAUUCUUGUAUCCCAAACAUUUGUUUCAAACCUGAUUUUUGAAGAAUCAUCAGUUUCCUCUUCUUCCUCAUGCGCUGAAACUAGAGAAGAUAGCACCGGCGAUGGUGAUGUUACAGAAGAAGAUGAUGUUACUGCAAAAGAUGGUUAUGGUUAAGCCGCGUAGAAGAAUUACAGAUCCACAAACAGAGGAACUAAACAGUAAUUUCUACCUUCUUUCCUUUUCUUUUCCGACAGAUUGUGCAAAUUUAGUAAAGUAUUGUAUUCUUACCUAAUUAAUUUAAUUUCUAUGUAUAUACAGCUAAAUAGCUCUAAAGUUUAUGUGUUAUCACGAAUAUAUCGCACAGUUUAAUUAAAAAAAUUAAACACUUUGAAGUCAUACUACAGAUUAAAACGAUUGGAUCUUGAUUUUAACACAAGUUUGUCAACCUUACAAGUUGUACAAGAUUAAUAAGAAGACUCCUCUUUCGAGAAAACUGUUAAAAGUAAUGAUAAUUUAUUGUUUUUAAAAAAUAAUGAUAAUUUAUUGGUUGAAAAAUAAUGAUAGUUUACAGUUUUUACCUUUUGAAAAGAAUAAAUAUAUUUUGAACUUAGCCUCGCACCUUACCGUUCACAGCUUUACAGUAAUAAGAUUCGAUUUCAAAGUAAAAUACAGUAUCAUUUGAAUUUCUUUCCUUUUGUACAAAUUCUUUUUUCUCAUAUUCUUCCUAAACAAACUCAACCAAAAGAAAAACAAAAGAAGACUUCUUUUCUGUCUCUAUCUCUCUAUUUACACAAUAACCUAAUAUUAAUAUUUCUCCAAAAACCUAAUAAUCUUUUUAUUCUCUCCUCAACAACUGUUUUUCUGCCUUAAUACUAUUUUUACAAAAUGACCAUUAUUACUACAAACUCAGCCCAGAAAA